CGUAGGUGGCAAGCGUUGUCCGGAUUUAUUGGGUUUAAAGGGUGCGUAGGCGGUUCCACAAGUCAGUGGUGAAAUACAAUAGCUUAACUAUUGAGGUGCCAUUGAUACUGCGGAACUUGAGUACAGACGAGGUAGGCGGAAUUGACGGUGUAGCGGUGAAAUGCUUAGAUAUCGUCAAGAACACCGAUAGCGAAGGCAGCUUACUAGACUGUAACUGACGCUGAGGCACGAAAGUGUGGGGAUCAAACAGGAUUAGAUACCCUGGUAGUCCACACUGUAAACGAUGAUUACUCGAUGUUGGCGAUACACAGCCAGCGUCUUAGCAAAAGCGAUAAGUAAUCCACCUGGGGAGUACGCCGGCAACGGUG
rnacentral:rRNA from 1 species